AGUCGAACGAUGAAGCCCUUCGGGGUGGAUUAGUGGCGAACGGGUGAGUAACACGUGGGCAAUCUGCCCUGCACUCUGGGACAAGCCCUGGAAACGGGGUCUAAUACCGGAUAUCACUCUUGCAGGCAUCUGUGAGGGUCGAAAGCUCCGGCGGUGCAGGAUGAGCCCGCGGCCUAUCAGCUUGUUGGUGAGGUAAUGGUUCACCCAGGGACGACGGUAGCCGGCCUGAGAGGGCGACCGGCCACACUGGGACUGAGACACGGCCCAGACUCCUACGGAGGCAGCAGUGGGAUAUGCACAAUGGGCGAAAGCUGAUGCAGCGACGCCGCGUGAGGGAUGACGCCUUCGGGUUGUAAACCUCUUUCAGCAGGGAAGAAGCGAAAGUGACGGUACCUGCAGAAGAAGCGCCGGCUAACUACGUGCCAGCAGCCGCGGUAAUACGUAGGGCGCAAGCGUGUCCGGAAUUAUUGGGCGUAAAGAGCUCGUAGGCGGCUUGUCACGUCGGGUGUGAAAGCCCGGGGCUUAACCCCGGGUCUGCAUUCGAUACGGGCUAGCUAGAGUGUGGUAGGGGAGAUCGGAAUUCCUGGUGUAGCGGUGAAAUGCGCAGAUAUCAGGAGGAACACCGGUGGCGAAGGCGGAUCUCUGGGCCAUUACUGACGCUGAGGAGCGAAAGCGUGGGGAGCGAACAGGAUUAGAUACCCUGGUAGUCCACGCCGUAAACGGUGGGAACUAGGUGUUGGCGACAUUCCACGUCGUCGGUGCCGCAGCUAACGCAUUAAGUUCCCCGCCUGGGGAGUACGGCCGCAAGGCUAAAACUCAAAGGAAUUGACGGGGGCCCGCACAAGCAGCGGAGCAUGUGGCUUAAUUCGACGCAACGCGAAGAACCUUACCAAGGCUUGACAUACACCGGAAACGGCCAGAGAUGGUCGCCCCCUUGUGGUCGGUGUACAGGUGGUGCAUGGCUGUCGUCAGCUCGUGUCGUGAGAUGUUGGGUUAAGUCCCGCAACGAGCGCAACCCUUGUUCUGUGUUGCCAGCAUGUCCUUCGGGAUGAUGGGGACUCACAGGAGACCGCCGGGGUCAACUCGGAGGAAGGUGGGGACGACGUCAAGUCAUCAUGCCCCUUAUGUCUUGGGCUGCACACGUGCUACAAUGGCCGGUACAAAGAGCAGCGAUACCGUGAGGUGGAGCGAAUCUCAAAAAGCCGGUCUCAGUUCGGAUUGGGGUCUGCAACUCGACCCCAUGAAGUCGGAGUUGCUAGUAAUCGCAGAUCAGCAUUGCUGCGGUGAAUACGUUCCCGGGCCUUGUACACACCGCCCGUCACGUCACGAAAGUCGGUAACACCCGAAGCCGGUGGCCCAACCCCUUGUGGGAGGGAGCUGUCGAAGGUGGGACUGGCGAUUGGGACGAAGUCGUAACAA
rnacentral:rRNA from 1 species